rnacentral:rRNA from 1 species
CGGCGCCACGAGUGGUGAUCAUUUUUAUUGGGCCUAAAGCGUUCGUAGCCGGUUUGAUAAAUCUUCUGUGAAAUUGUCAAGCUUAACUUGACAGCGUGCAGAAGACACUAUUAAACUUGGAACCGGGAGGAGUCAGAGGUAUUCUUUGGGGAGCGGUAAAAUGCUAUAAUCCAAAGAAGACUAACUGUGGCGAAGGCGUCUGACUAGAACGGAUUCGACGGUGAUUGGACAAAAGUCAGGGGAGCAAUCCGGAUUAGAUACCCGAGUAGUCC